UACGUAGGGUGCGAGCGUUGUCCGGAAUUAUUGGGCGUAAAGAGCUCGUAGGCGGUGUGUCACGUCGGCCGUGAAAACCUGGGGCUCAACUCUGGGCGUGCGGUCGAUACGGGCAUCACUUGAGUUCGGCAGGGGAGACUGGAAUUCCUGGUGUAGCGGUGAAAUGCGCAGAUAUCAGGAGGAACACCGGUGGCGAAGGCGGCCUGCUGGGCAGUUGCUGACACUGAGGCGCGACAGCGUGGGGAGCAAACAGG
rnacentral:rRNA from 1 species